rnacentral:rRNA from 1 species
UACGUAGGGGGCAAGCGUUGUCCGGAUUUAUUGGGCGUAAAGAGCGUGUAGGCGGCCAAACAGGUCCGUUGUGAAAACUGGAGGCUUAACCUCCAGACGUCGACGGAAACCGUAUGGCUAGAGUCCGGAAGAGGAGAGUGGAAUUCCUGGUGUAGCGGUGAAAUGCGCAGAUAUCAGGAAGAACACCUAUGGCGAAGGCAGCUCUCUGGGACGGUACUGACGCUGAGACGCGAAAGCGUGGGGAGCGAACAGG